rnacentral:rRNA from 1 species
AACGAACGCUGGCGGCAUGCCUAACACAUGCAAGUCGAACGAGACCUUCGGGUCUAGUGGCGCACGGGUGCGUAACGCGUGGGAACCUGCCCUUAGGUUCGGAAUAACUCCCCGAAAGGGGUGCUAAUACCGGAUAAUGUCUUCGGACCAAAGAUUUAUCGCCUUUGGAUGGGCCCGCGUUGGAUUAGCUAGUUGGUAGGGUAAAAACCUACCAAGGCGACGAUCCAUAGCUGGUCUGAGAGGAUGAUCAGCCACACUGGGACUGAGACACGGCCCAGACUCCUACGGGAGGCAGCAGUGGGGAAUAUUCGACAAUGGGCGAAAGCCUGAUCCAGCAAUGCCGCGUGAGUGAUGAAGGCCUUAGGGUUGUAAAGCUCUUUUACCCGGGAUGAUAAUGACAGUACCGGGAGAAUAAGCUCCGGCUAACUCCGUG